GACGGACUGACCUUUUUCCUGAAGGAGGCGAUAAAAACUAGUGUCCUUUCUUGUAGAUGGGAAAAGCUCCGGCCUUCUCAACCCUAUUUGAACCUUGAUGCUUUGACUUUGGAUCUGCUCAGUAAAUUCCAUCCUCGAGACUCCCUCUUUAGAAUAUGAAUUGCAUAUUUGCAUGGACGCAGCAUUUUGGGGCUCUAAUCGCGUAUCCUUCUGGAAUUUGGCAGCAUAAAUAGAAUACAAUGAAUUUUGUUGUCUUAGUUAAACUCAGAAUUACAAAGGGAAAAGGACCUUUGAAACUCUCUGCAAAGCCUCAUCGGAGUAGAAACUGGCGGGGCAGCCUUGUGACACCUUCUGCUGGUAACAACAUGCUGGUCUUGCAUAGCUGUCCAGCAAACUCGGCAAGCACGUCCUUUUGUCCAAAUUUUAAGGUGCUAGCAUUAUCCAACUCAGAGAAGAAGCCUGCAUCAAGCAAGUUAUCACUGCAGUCCAAGUGGCUUACAUCCUGAGACUGACGAUUCAAAGUCCACUGAAUUUGAAUAACCGUUCGUUUUUUAGGGAUCAAAGAAAGUGAAAAUUCUAGCGCUCCUCUGUGUGUUUAUUUUAGCCGAGGGCAGUUCGUUUUUGGAUUGAUCUUAAUGUCUCAUGGCUUUGGCAUUUGUUUUACUGCCCCGCUCUAUACUCUGAUUCAGAAGCUUUUUUCAGACACAUCUGAGGCAGCUUCUUAAAAGUGCUAGUGGUAGUGCUUUUUAUAAACUUGACAGUAAAAUAAUUUCUAAUUUUGAACCUAGAUCGCCUGUGGCUUUAGUUUAAUAUCA